rnacentral:lncRNA from 1 species
GGCAAACGUUGUAGAGUACAAAGUGUGGGUAAAUUGGCAGUAAAUUUCCGGGGAACUUGAGUACAACUUGAAUACAAAAGUUUACCUGGCCUUUAUUGACGUUAAGUUGUACGUAACUUACCUUCUACAUUACCUACAAGUUCUGCUGUCAAAUUAACUACCAAUGGCGGCAGUAGAUUUACGUCAAAUUGUAUGUAAAUGUUAUUCAGCAAAAACUUGCUGUCAACUUAACGUUAAAUCGACUGCAAUGGCUGAUUGAUAAAUUUUUGUCAAGUAACUCUGGCUAUCUGGUUUCAUUAUAUUGCUUGACAGAACAUCGGCGAGGAAUAAAAAACCAACACUUAUGGAUAUUGCUCCAUACUCCUGAUUCGUGAAUCAUGUAACCUGUCAAUAAAAUCUUUGUGACACAGAAUCAUCAAAAAAAGUUAGUGAGGCAAUUUCUUCCGAUAAAUACGACAAAUCGAGUGAUCAAAAUUAUACAACGUGCUUAUCGUUAUUAAAAAAUGUGAAGGUAGUGAACGAUAUUGCUGAAAGAACAGUUGCUUCAGUUGAAGAAUUCAUUCAGUUUGGUACUAAAGAC